rnacentral:rRNA from 1 species
GUGGGGAAUAUUGGGCAAUGGGCGCAAGCCUGACCCAGCAACGCCGCGUGAAGGAAGAAGGCUUUCGGGUUGUAAACUUCUUUUACCAGGGACGAAACAAAUGACGGUACCUGGUGAAUAAGCCACGGCUAACUACGUGCCAGCAGCCGCGGUAAUACGUAGGUGGCGAGCGUUAUCCGGAUUUAUUGGGUGUAAAGGGCGUGUAGGUGGGACAGCAAGUCAGAUGUGAAAACCAGAGGCUCAACCUCUGGCCUGCAUUUGAAACUGUUGUUCUUGAGUGUCGGAGAGGUAAUCGGAAUUCCGUGUGUAGCGGUGAAAUGCGUAGAUAUACGGAGGAACACCAGUGGCGAAGGCGGAUUACUGGACGAUAACUGACGCUGAGGCGCGAAAGCGUGGGGAGCAAACAGGAUUAGAUACCCCUGUAGUCC